UACGUAGGGUGCGAGCGUUGUCCGGAAUUAUUGGGCGUAAAGAGCUCGUAGGCGGUCCGUUAAGUCGGAAGUGAAAUCUCAAGGCUCAACCUUGAAAUCGCUUUCGAUACUGGCGGACUUGAGGCAGGUAGGGGAAGGUGGAAUUCCUGGUGUAGCGGUGAAAUGCGCAGAUAUCAGGAGGAACACCAACGGCGAAGGCAGCUCGCUGGGACGGUACUGACGCUAAGGCGCGAAAGCGUGGGGAGCGAACAGG
rnacentral:rRNA from 1 species